rnacentral:tRNA from 1 species
GGGCUCAUAGCUCAGCAGUAGAGCGCUCGCCUUGCACGCGAGAGGCCAGGGGUGCGAAUCCCCUUGAGUCCA